AAGGAACGUAAGCGUCCCUGAGCCGUGAGCUGGCAGUGGCCCUUGUGGCCAGGAACGCCGAGGAUGUUCUGGGCUGCAGUAGGAAGAGCGUUGCCAGCAGGUCAGGGGAGGUGAUCCUGCCCCUCUGCUCAGCACUGGCGAGGCCGCAUCCGGAGUGCUGGGUCCGGAUUUGGGCUCCUCAGUACAAGAGAGACAUGGAGCUCCUGGAGCAGAUCCAGUGGAGGGCAACAAAGAUAAUUAAGGGGCUGGAGCAUCUCUUUUUGAGGGAAGACUGAGGGAGCUGGACCUGUUCAGCCUUGGGAAGAGACCACUGGAAGGGGACUUCAUCAAUGAGUACCUGAAGGAGGGAGGAUGCCAAGAGGAUGGAGCCAGGCUCUUGUCAGUGGUGUCAGGCAGUAGGGCUCCAAGUCUCCAGCUUUGCCCAUGAAGGUGUGCCAGCCAUGGGUCACAGGGAUGGAGAGACCGGAGUGUAUCCGUGUUGUGUGGGACUGUGUGUCACUGUGCAACCACCAGCAAACUUCAAGUCACUCCAGCCAGCAGGAUGAGGGGCUUGGGAACAAGAAAGAACAUUAAUCAUUUAUGUACAGGAAAAUACUUCAAAGCAACACUUUCAGGUAUGGAAAAAAACUGCUGAAGAGUUAAUUCUCAGUAUUAUUCUAUCCAUCUAGGUCAGUAACUUUUGUACUAUGUUUCCUGGUAAUAUUUCCCCGAGAAACUCUUGAGAAAGAACACACAAGAACCAGUAAUGUCUUUUUAUUAAAAUACCUCUUAAAACACUCAUCAUCAUAAAAUACACUGGGCGUUGCUGCAUGACAUUUGUGUACACACAACACUUUCAGCAAACUCUAGACGGCAUCAGGAAUUACAAAAAGUAAGGCAAGCCCCAGAAGGUGUGCACUACCUUCUCUCAGGCCACUACAGACAACUGUGUUUACAUUUUUAUGCCAUUCCCCACAACAUUUCCUGGACACCUCUUAGGCCGCUCCCCCAUCCCUACUUCCCCCACUUGAUUUGACCUCACAGUGAAAUUCUGAGGAUGCAAAUGGAGACAAUGUCACAGAUCCAUGGGGUAGCAGGUGCCUGACCAGAAACAUAAGCCCUCUUUGUCCCCCAAGAAGAUUCUGAGCCACCCUCAUCUUUCCAAUAAUUUAAGACUGCAAAAAUUCGAAGCAUGCUAAUGACCUGCUUGAUUGAUUGCUACGUGUCUCCUGUCUCUGUCAGGAACAUGGAUGCAUCACCCUCCAGCUACAAGCAGCCACAACUACUCUUAACCUAUUCUUCCUCUCCAUUCAUUUGAAGAAAUUCUAGCAGAAGAAAAUAUAAUGUGAGUUGCAAAAUAUAGGAAGAACUCCUCCAUUAUAAGCUGAGUUUUUCUAUUUUUGUCUAUGAUCUUUUAUCACUUAACUGUAAGUUUAAAGUAUGAAGACAUUCCAUUAUCCACUAGUUCAAAACAAUAACAUUCAUCUUUCAAGUACAUCUUUAUAGCUGAAAAAGACACUGAAGGAAGUAACAUUAUUUAACAAGAGUAGAUUUUUCUUUUAUUAUUAUUAUCAUUAUUAUUAUUCCAUCUUAUUGAAAGAACUGUAUCAUGAGAAAAAAAAAAAAUAGAAAAAACAUUCAGGCAAAUUUUUCAACAAAAUAAAUGUAAUAUGACUGCUUUCAUGUGUACAUGGUACAGAUAGACAGGUGUAACUAGAAAACAGUUUAAUCCCUCUAGCUGAGGUUAAUGAGAGAAAAAUGAAUAGUCAAGUUCCUUUUUGUGUUUGCAUAUGCAUAUAUUCAUAAAAAGUUGAAGGAAUUAAAACCUACAUUAUUAUAAAUACAAAAAGCUGACAUUAAUUACUCAUACACUUUAUUCUUGUACUUAGUACCAUUACCAGUGGACACCUUAAAUUUGUCAUAGUAAUUGCUAUGUAACAGUCAACAUAAAAAAACUCUUACUUAGAAAAAUGGACAAUGUUCUAAACUCAGAGCACUUUGCCUUUGCAGACACAUAUUCCCUUCUUCACUGACAAAAAUUUAUGGGGAAAAAAAUUUAAUAAUAAUAAAAAUGUUUUGGAAUAAAUAUUCACAGGAAAUUACUAAAUGGGAAUAUGCUUGCUGCCAGCUUCUCAGCUGGUAGACCUGUACCACUUGCCUGUUCCCGUCAUUUCAUUCUUUAUUCCUUUAGUCAUUAAAUCCAUCAUAGCCUUUCAUGUUUCCUUUACUGGACGAAAUGUUCAGGGGGUUGCAACCCCAGAGAACAGUGCAAAAGGUGGGAAAUGCAACAGCACUGAACAGCUUUAUCUUGGGAUCUAAGAGAAGGCUGAAAAGAUUAAUUUGUGUAACACAUAAAUUAUGCAUCAUAGGCCCCCAUGAAAAGAGAGCAGGGCAAACGACACUUGGAGGAAAAGUGUCCCAUACAUGGUGUUUUGCUGGGCAGCCCUUCUAAGAAGUUAGGAUUUUAUCCAUGACAGCCCAUUCUUUGAACUUGAAGAGAAAGCGUGAAUUUUAAUUUUUCUCCAAAUAUCACUUCCACAAUAAAAGCUAACCUUAAAAACUGGAAGGUAAUAAAGUUAAAAAACAACACCAGAAACCAAAUCCCAAAAACCCUGCCCCUAAACAACAUCCACCCUCCCUCCAACCUAGCAGCCAUUUAUUUGUUGAAUUUAGAUAAUGGAAAUCUCAUCACCAUAUUCUAAGAGUUUCCCUACUCUAAACUACAAGAUAAAGUAUUAUGUUCUGAAAACCAGUAUAGCAAAUAUUUUCAAAUCAAAGGAAAACAAUCAGAACAGCAAUGAUGAGCAUGACUGUACCAUUUGAGCAGAAAUAAAGAUAAACAAGUUUAAAACAUAGUGUUUAAACAUCUACUAGUUAGCCUCGCUUAUAUGAAUUAAAAAAAAAAAAAGGAAAAAAGUUCUCUGAUUUUAUACAUCCUCUUCUCAACCAGGUACAUUUAACUGCAACCAGCAGGCACUCCACCAAAACUCAGUAUUUGCAAUCCCAGUCUCUUUAACCGAGAGAGAUUACUUUGGCCUCAGUAUGCUACAUUACAAUUUUCCUGCUUCAGAACAUGCAGUUCAUACAUUUGACAGUUUUACUGCCGUAGUCGAUGCAUUCUGGCCCAAUGCACUCGCAGCAGGCGUUGUGAAACCAUCGGUAUUUGGAAGCUCCCAUGGACUCGCAAGAGAUCUUGCACUGAUGUAUUGACAUGCAGUCAUCAAAAUACACCACAGUACACAUGUGUUCUAAACCAAGAGGGAAAAAAAAUUGGUUUAAAAGGUCUUAAAGUGUUUUUAAAGGUUAGUUAGAAAUUAGUUAAAUGAGCAGCUUUAGAAGUGUGAUUGUAAACUGACAGGAUUAUGAGGCAUAAGGAAAAAAGGUGACAGUGAAAGCAGAGAGGCAAGGCAGAGAGACAAGGUAAAAUCUAUCAACUUCAUAUUUUCAGCAUCUACAACUCAACCUGUUCUCUGAUCUCCUCCUGGAUUAAUUUAUUUCUCUAUUCACAGGCAAGAAUGUUUUUAAGUUUUGUCCCCCAGUUACAAGAGCGUAAGGAUGAGCUAUGCCAAAAUUACAAGCAGGAAUAUGUCCUCUGAAGGUAAUAUGCUACCACAAAAAAACUUCAGGUUUAGAGAAGUUAUUAAAAAAAAAAACCAAACAUCAAAACCCACUUAUUUGGAUGCAAAUGUUUCUUUUACCGCCUCGCCCCAAACUCCACAAUAAUCUUCAGCCAGAUUAAAUCACAGACCUAAAGAAUCCUUUUCUCAUCAGCAUGAAACUGCACACUUUUUUCCUCUUCUUUUUUUUAGCAACACCACCAGCUUUACUACUAAUCUUAAGAAACCCUUUCUGCCUAAGUGUUGACUUCGUGCUUCUAACACCCAUGCAAUUACUUGAAAUGCCAUGAAGUUUAGUGCUGCAACAUCAAAAUGGAGCUAAGGCAUUCACCACAACUAUAAAUAAGACCAUUCCCCCCUCAGUCCACUUCCAAUCCUCCAAGCUGUCAGAUUCCACCAUCUUUCUUCUGUACUGACCAGGUGAUUAUAGCAUAAAACUUGGUUCAACCUCCAAAGGACCACACUUACAUAACAUUUACCCAGAGCAUAACUUGGCAGACCUUGGGGAAAGCACAACUGGCAGCUGUCUGCAAACAGGAAUGUCUCCCUCACACAGAUCAAACCAACUUGUGAGCAGGAGAUGUCAAAGGGCUUUCUAGCCUAUUACUACUACUCAUGGUGCACCUAGGAGAAACCCACUAUAUACAUUCCAAUGUGGAUCAGAAAAAAGUAAUACAGACUUAAAGACAGUGGGUGUCGUUUGUUUUUUUUAAUGACUGAUUUUGACCACUGUCAAAUUAUUAUGCUACUACAGCUACAAGAAGGUCAGAGCCUGCCCACUGAAAGCAACAGAGUAUUCACUGCCUUGGUCAGACUCCAAACUGAUGUACAUGCCUUGCAGACAUCAGAUACAGUGCAACAGGCAAUAGGGAUCUUGUGUAGGAGAGGCAGACCCAGAGCUGAAGCAGUUUCUGCCCCCAGAAAAGCUGUGCUGCAGUUGUCAAAAAAAAUCUUGCAGUACCUGGAAGUACUGCUGGAAACAUCAACAAAGUCCACUGUGGCUGUGUAAGUUGUGUCCCAUUCUUGGCAUUUCUAUUUCUAUAAGCCCUUAUAAUACAAAGCAACCAGAGGAAAAGAGUUCUCAGAGAACAAAAUCUCUACCUGAAAACAACCAACAUAUCUACAGCUUCAACAAGGAUGUUUGAUUCACAGAGAGGAAGAGGAAAGAGCUGAACAGAAGUAUGGUACCAUGUGCAGAGUGAUAGGUGUACACCUAAAGUGCUCAGCCAAAGCUGAAAAGUGGUAGGGAGAUGCAGCCACCCCAGCCUCAAAGGCAAGAAGGCAAAGGCCAGACAGCAGCUCGACCUUCUAUGGGGAAUGCACAAGGACUUGGCAACAUUUCAUCACCAGUGACAAAAAGUUCAGAUUGCCAUAGUCCCAAGAAGAAGCACACACCAUCCAUUCCCAGAAGGCCCAGAUAGCCCCAGGUAUCUGUUCCCUCCACUCUUCACAGGAAGUUUUUAGUGGAAGGGUAGGGAUGAGAAAGUAGGAGCAAGUCUCCAGACAGUAUUCUCAUGUCCCAUCAGUCAUCCAAGUCAGUGCUGGGAUUCAAGCACAUGAACCUUACAGAAGCCUUUGUUGCACAUUACUCAUACUCUUUUGCUUAAUCUCUAUUGUGUCCUUUGAUGCCUUUUUAGUAGUUUUCUACUGAAGUGUUACUACAUUAAGUUUGAUCUUAAAUUCCAUAGUCUUAGAAGGUGUCACCUGGAGGCACAGAGCCUCUCCCUUGAAACUGGCAAUCCUGGCUAAUCUAGAAAGAUUUCUUCCUGCAAAAUCACCUUUUGGUGAUGCCAUCUCCAGCUGACUGACUUAGUCUCUGGAUAAGCCUGAGAAAGCAAAAUGAUUCAUGGCUAUCUCCAGACUGGAGUGAAACAGCUCUUCAAAGGAAGCAACCAUCCAAGGGGUUUCCAGAAGUGCUCACUAUCUGUUGAUCAAGGCACUCCAACUUGCAGUACACAAAGGAAAGCCUAAGGUAGGUCAGGGAAGUUGUCAGGAAAGCUGUGCACACUCUGAGGUGUGCUAACUGCUCCCAGUACUUACAGGCUGAAUUCACACCAGAGAAUGUCCAGUCCCUUCUGUGUAAGGAGAUAUCUGUGCUCACCUUCAUGAUAACCUCAUCUCUGACAGCCUCAGCACUAUUAGUACUGCUUCACAAGUCCUGCUGAAGCCUAUCAGCUAAUGCCUGCAGAAAUGAAAUAAACUUCCUGGGGAAGGAAAGCCUGUGAUUUUUAGGAUGUAAAGAUCAAUGACAUGGGAAUCAUCUCUCUGGAUAAAGGAGACCAGAGGAGCAGCAGCACCUGGCCUAUAACUCUGGCAAAACUAGGUGGCAUCAGUCAGCUCCUGUGAGAGUGCAGACUGGUCUCCUGAAUCACUCUCCCAGGACCAAAGCCAAAAUUCAACCUUAUUAUGGUGGCAGCGACAACCAAUGACAUUUAUCUUAUCUGACUGGAGAGUAGAGAAGAAAGUUUAUUUUCACCUGCACACAAGUCAAGAGGAUUAGAUUCUCGAGGACAAGCACAAAAAUGCUGCAAAGGGGAGAGAGCAGAAUGCAUGUGACAGGCCAGAGCCAACAGCAGAUCUGUCUGGUCCCAAGCAGCUCUUGCAAGCAGCUGGAGGAUGUGCUCCGUGUAUAUGUUACCAAAUUGUUUCUGACGUCUUGCUCACUGAAAGACUUGCCAGGUCUGAACAAGUCAGAUUGUCCAGGGUGCACUUUGUUUGUCACAGGGCACUCCUGGUCCCCUCCUCAGCAAUGCCUCUGUGCUCAUGUACAGGCUGAAUUACUGAAAGCAGGAGAGUUCCUCCCCUCAAGCACUAAAUUCUGCUCUAUAAACUGCAGAAAGAGAGUUACACAGGGGAAAAAAAUACCUACAGGCUCAGCUGGGAUCUGGGAGAGUACUUGAACUGUUUCACAAAGCUAAUUACCGAGUCAUCACUUGGCUCCCUCAGUGUAGAUAAAAACAAUAUUACUUAGUGCAGUAACAGCUUUCUCAUUUGCAUUUUGCCAAUUUUCACACCCUAAGGAUGACAGACUGCAGAUGCAGGGAGGGAGAAGGAUGCAGCAGUAAACUUUUUUCCCAAAACAUUAUUUCUCACCUUUUUCCCCCUCACACUUCAUACUCGGUGAAAAUUGUGUAGGAGAAACAACAACCAAGUCUAAAUUAAAAGUGAACAGAAGAAACUACCAGGCUUUGCUAUAAAAUUAUCUGUAUUUGUAUAAUACAGAAAAAUUUAGCAACUCAGAGAAUCUUCCCAUUAAUGACAAUUUGCUGUACGGGAUCUUUGAAGUUAUAUGUGCUAUGUAACUUCAGCUGUCUGCUGGCCACUUUACUGGUAGCUCUAAAAGUUCUUUGAAAAGGUAACUGUCCAUCCAGCAGUCAUACCAGUUUAUCACAGAACAGCCUGGGUUGGAAGGGACCUUAAAGUUCAUCUAGUUCCAACCCCUCUUCUGUUGGCAGGGAUACACCUUCCACUAGAAAAACACUAGUCUAGUGCAGUAGUGAGAAGAGAGGAAACAAGAACAAGGAGAUUAACAUGCAACUGAUUAUGAACAAUUUACGUGAGCAUGUACACAAGCAUUUACAUAAUCUACUACUUUUGGACAAGUCAAUUUUAUGUCAAUCAAUUUAUAAAAAAACCUGUGGUUUUGGUUUUGUUUUUUUUUAAAAUCUUUCUAGACUACCUACAGAGGUAGAUGUUUCUUCACUGGAAUUCUAGCUGACCAAACACCAUCCCCUGUGUCACAAGCAGUGUAAAUCAGAAACCCUUAACUACAGCACAGAUUUCGUUUUAUCAAUUGCCAAAAAUUAUCUAGUUCCCCUCUCCCUCUUGCCAACAUCCUGUCAUCAUCUGAAACAACUAAGCUUAUUUAAAUCUCUGAACUCACAGUUCAGAGCUCUGAGGGUAUCAGCUACAAGUACAGCAAAGAGAAUGAAGUACAAAUGUAGUUCCAGAUUAAUAACCAUCACAAUGCUCUCUGAAGUAGAGGUUCAAGUGCCAGAAACAACUGAUACAGAGAAUUACAGCAACUCCAGCAGUGCAUGCAUAACUUUGGCAGCUAAAUCAUUACAAGUCAGUUCACAGGAGGAAAGGGAAGACACUCAUUAGGAAAAUAAUGGGGAAGUUCAAGGUCUGGUGGCUGGGUUCAGAGUAGGCUGGGGUGAGAAAGGAAUGCUUUAUAUCCCACCGCACCCCACCUCCUCCCGGAUCCACAGCCGCCCUCCCUGGUGGUGGCUCCACGCCACUCAGGCACAAAGCUCAUGGUUCCUGUGGCUGGUGCUGCUUUUCCUGGCACUCACCCAGAGCUGCAUCAAGCAGAUCUGGCACCCUGGGCCAGCUUAACAGCGAUGCCUGAGAGAACGUGCAGGAAAGCUGAGAUCAGAGCUGGGUUACACUACGUGACACGGGGUAUUGGUAAGCAGAGCCUUUCCAAAUUUUGGAAUGUAUUCCGGAAGACAGCACAGAGACCACUGUCCCCCUACAAAGUGUACUUCUCAUUAGCCCCUCUCCCUUAACAGGCCAUGCCAUCGGCUGCUGCCAGCACACCAUGUUGGAGGGAAGCAUGCAAGGAGCCACAGAAGAACCACAAAAUGGAGGAGGCACAGCACUGUAAAGGAAACCUAAAGCAUCCGUGUUCCUGCUCACAAAUAUUCUUUCAAAUCCCUGAUUGUCACAGCCUUGAAGACAACCGUUUAGCAAGUCACCUUAAGGGUAUCUCCGUUUGCAAUACCUGCCUUCAAGCCCAGCAGCAUUUCUGGGGAGAAGGAAAGGGUAAAGACAUGGUCUAUUUCUCCCACUGCAGGCUCAGCUUGUGUUUACUGCCACUGAGCACACACAUACACCUUCACAAACCCUCCCUCUUUUUCAGUGGCUCUAACACUUGCCAACUUGUUAAAGCAGUGACCCAAUUGUGUGACUGAACUUUGCAUGGCCAGAAGCCAUCAGGCUCCAGGAAUUUCCUCAGCUGCCUCACUGUGCCCAUGCUCACAAGGCUCUUCAGUUCCAACCUCCUGCCCCUCCAUCUUUUGAUUGUGGCUUCCCCAAUGAACACAGCAAAACAGUAUUAGAAACAAUGCUACCCUAUGGCUCACACAGCAUUCAGCACUCUUGGAUGUCUGGCUGUCCUGCUUCCACCAUAAUAAACAUCAACUGACCAAGGCCAGAUGUUAAUUUUUAUUUCCAACUCCUCUGUUCUCAAUGCUCAAAUAAUCAAUGUUUUUAUAAGCAAAAUUUAAUAUGACUUUUGAUAAAGAAGAGCACUACAAAGUUAUCUACACUGCGACCAAGAAAAGAGACUCAUUGGCAGGCUUACGUAUUUAGACACGUAAAAGUAUAGGAAUAGGAUGUGGAAAGUAAUUUUCUAUCUUUUCCAGUUCUUCACUGGUCACUAAGAUGGAGAAGGCAUAGCAAAUGAUUACAAGAUCAGGCUCUGACAUUUAUUUCUGUUUUAAGUGUCUGCUGAGGCCUGAAAGCCAGUGGCAUUUGGUAACUAUUUCCAAAUAUAACUGUUGUUUUUGGACUGUCAUCAUUCCAGUAAGAGCUCUCUCAGCCUAAUCUCUAAUAUGUUCCUAGUAAAAGAAAUGAAGGGGACUUUUGACUCAGAAAAAAUGGCAGUGUUAUGUGUUUGUCUGUGUUGUUGAACUCAAAACUGCUCCACACCCUUGAGAUGCAAUUUAAAAUUCUAAGUUUAAUCCAAAACUAUCAUUAGCCCAUCCUGUUGGUACGGUAGUAAAGGACUGGCAGGGAAAAGCCAUCUGGAUUGUAGUACCUAAGUAAAGUGGGAUAUAUUCAAGGCUGUACUAAACAUAUUUUUUUUUCCCCCUGAGUUUAAUUUAUAAUUGUAAGUACUGUAGUCUUUGUACACAGGGCUUUUUGUGGCUUUCCAUUUUACAUGACUUUGUACAUUUUUCUCAUAACGGCAAGCAAGCAUUUUAAUAACAUCAAAGACAUAUGAAUGAGAUGCUUUCUGCCCAUCUGGUUUCUUAGUUCUGGAAUUAAUUUAUUUUUCUAAUGUGCCUUAGCCAAAGGAAAUUAGAAAAGUUGCCAUUAUGGUUCCAUUUAAUCAGCAGCAGUCCUACUCAGAAACACAACUAGGUCAAUGGUUCACACUGGUAUGGAAGAGCAGCAUGUCCAUCAAUUAGGGUAUCUUUUAUUGAUAAGAUAAAAGGGCCAUCACAACAGCAACAUAUGGGGUUACGAAUAUUUAAAGUGCAUGUUGGGAAGGAAGCAAAGCAUUAAUUGCACUAAUAAAUCAGAUGCUCUUUUUCCCCUAUUAAGCAGCAAUUCCACUAUGAACUGUUUAUGGGAUUCUUUAAAGUCUGACGUAAUGAUUUGCAGGAAAAAGUGUUUCAGGUUUAGUAUGGAAACCAAGAAACAGUAUUUUUUUAUACCACUGUCGACACUACCUCAAACUUCUCAUCUUUCCCCCACCCAACCACAGCAAACAGUAUCCUGAAGUCUGUCCUCUAAACUGAAGGUAGGAAUAUAAAGAACUUAAUAUGAAAUAGGAGGAAUGAAUCUGUAAGUUGAACCCCUACCACCAAGUUACUUGUUUUGAAGACAGUCUGUCACAUAUCCUUCCUUCAUCAGUCCUUCUAAUCUUGUUUAGGUUUCCUAUUAAUCCUGAAUUUCAUACAAAACAUCCCUCUAAAGAUUUCAAGUUAUGCCAGCUCAGAUGAAAUAAAUAAACAACUGUUCCAGAUACAAGAGUUUAUGGCACAUGGUUUUCUCAGACCUCUUAAGCCAUGUUUUGGUUGCCCACUUCUGCACAGAUACAUAAUUUGGAUUCAGUUUCUGGCCUGUCCUGUCUCCUAAGCUAGAGGUAACUGUUUCUAGGUCAGAGAACACACCGUGCCAGUGCACAUGAAACAACAUGAAGAAACUGCCUCAUGCCACAGGAGUAAUUACAGAGACAAACUCACGUGGUUCAGUGUCUCCUAAGAACAUCAGUCAUUUUAACAACAUCUUCCACGUUCCUCAACACCUUUGCCUCACUCCUUCUGUUUUGUCAUGCUCAAAAUUAGGCUGAACCUUUCACAUAUUCUUAUGGAAAAAGAAGAAGCAAGCAUAGAGAAGCAGAGGAUAUGCACUGAGAAGACUCCUGGGAGAGACAAGAGGAGAUGCUAGGAUUUAGACACUACACUCAUUACCUUUGUCACUAGAGUAAGGUGUGUGGACAUUGUUGUUUGGAACAGAGACGUUCUGAUGCUGUGGCUGGUUCACUGUUUCUAAAAAGGAGACGAGGUUCUCAUGGUGUGAUAGUUCUUCUGCCACAGGGAAGGAAACAAUAUUCCAGUUCAGCUGAGUAUCCCCUUCUGUCAGUGCCCGGAAAAGGGAAGGAAUUGGUUCAUGCAACUCCUCAACAGUGCUCUUCGACGUCGGAGGUGUGUCACUGUAAUUGCGAGGAUUGCACAUACCUGCAGAGGAAACAAACAGUAAAUUACACAGAACUCCCUAAGCUCCUCUUGAAACAGGAAAACAGUAUGGGAAAGAGCAGCAGAACAGUGAGUCACCUGCAGAUUUAUGAAAAGAAGCUUGUGUGUGGACUUCACAAUCCCAAGAGGUCACAAGUCAUCUUGUAUCCACCAAAGAAACAAAAUUCACCAACUAUUGCUUGUGAUACAUAAUGCUGAGAAAUGCGGUCGCCUGCAGUUUCUUGUGACCUGUUUGCCCCACUGACUGAUGGAGAGUGAAACCCUGCUCCACACACAUUUCUGCAAUAGGCAGCCCUUGCAAGUAUUGAAUUUUUGUUUACGGAGGGGAAAACUACUACGAUUCAUUACUUUUUCAUCCUCAAAAUUUAUGAAUGGCACCUAUCACUGCACAGACUAUGCUGUUUCCAAGUAAAAGGCUGAUUAACAAAAUAUGUACAUUUUUCCACUACAGGAGACACCACAAACUUAGAAAGAUGACUUACGGAGAAGCAGGACCUGAAGGCAUUGGAAACCUCUCUGCAAACUGGAAGUGGGAGUGAAAGAGCACUUUUUUUCCUAGAACAGUUUAAUAACAGAAAAUCUCCUGGAAGUGAACCAACCAGAAAUGUUUUGUUAACCCAACCGGGUUAUGUGCUGCAGCUAAAACACACACUGGAAUUAAUUUUUAGAUGCUGAAGCCCUGAAGUUAAGGAGUGGCAUUUAUUUCAUACCACAGGGCUAAAAUGUCUUGGAAAUCCUUUCAGGCUGACAAGUUUGUACACAAGAUUAACAGGAGGCAAAAAAGACAAACGAAAAGAGAUUUUAAUUGGAACGAUACCACACCAGCUGAGGUGGCUGCAGGUCUGCAGAGUCCAGGAAAGAAAAUCCUGUUUUCUCCACAAAACAACCUCUCUUUAGAAGGAUGGUAAAACCAUGCCUGAAUUAUAACACCACUUGUUUCCUAUGCACAGCAACAAUUUAAAGCACUGCUGCAGAUGAGGCAGCAAAGCUCAGCUUCCAGCCCAACACUGACAUUCCACCCGAGCCUGUCUCCUGCUAGGAGCUCUGCACCUCAAGAGCCAACCUGGGACUCGCCUCAAACCCUUUUGGAAUGAACAAUUGUGGGAACGUCUCAUCCUCAAGGUUUCUGCCUUCAAGGAUUUCCUCCAUGUUGCAAGGACACAAUAUGUGCCUCCCCCCACCCAGUGAGCGUAACUGGCCUUUUCAUCUCCUCCACACAUGGAAACAUCAAAACAACCCACGCGGCCAAGGCAACAGCAGAUGUGCUCAGUAAACACUGCAGCACACGCUCCUGUGCGCCCAGGGCUCCACCUGGAACGCACGGCAGCAGUGGCUCAUGGACUCCAAUCCCCAGUCCCAGGGACAUGGGAAGCAGCUAUGGCCCAAACUAAUUUUGUGGACUCGCUCUCUACACUCCCAAGUCUUACCCACAACCCUCUCAACAACUACAGGAAGCCACAAAGUUUCUUAGCGAAGGCUGAGCUUAUGCAGAGAGAUGCCUCAAGCUAUUUUCUUCCAGGCCUUUGCUUAUGGAAAAAAGAGGAGCACCAAUAAAGCUAGAGCCCAGGAUGCAAAGGGAAAGCUGGAUCCAUGGGAGUUGUUGAUUGCAUGCACUGUUCUGGAUCUAACAAAAUAAAUAUUUAUGUAGGGACCACCCUAAAGCAGAGGAGCUCCUAAGGAGUGGCAGUCAUGACUGUACUGACUUCUAGCCAUGCUGGCAAAAAUAUUUAUAUUAACCGUAUGCUUUUUGAGCCAGCAGGUCUCUUGUCUCUGUGUCCCCAGGACAGGCAGCCUCGCUUUCUGCACACAGAUGCAGAUGACAAACACAAUCUGUUUGCUCCCCCGGUUGUCUCCGAGUGACAUUAUCUUGGUUUCAAGAUAGGGAUUGUGCCAAACUUGAACAGCGAUAAAAGUCGGUGAGGGAAAAAUAUCAUGUGAUAGUCAAGCAACCUCCCUCAGUAUGGUAUCUUGUUUUUAAGUUCAGAUUCCUCCAGAAGAGUUUAGAGGGGAAGAAAGUACAUGGAUAUGCUCUACUUGCAUAUCUAUCCAGGAAAGAACAUGGAUUUCAUAUACCAGUGCAGCACUUCUGCCACAAAAGCACUGAAAUUUUAAAACAAACAAAAAUGCCAGGAAGAAAGAUGACAAUUGCUUUAAGUCAAAGCUUUAGGAUAUCUUCCUGUCCACAAUCAGACUAGUCUGACCUGAUCUGUUCUUCUAUAAAGAAUGAAUACUGACUGGUAAAUCAGGCCUGUGUGCAGGAAGACAGCAGGCAGAUGGUGAAAACAAACAGUGUAAUUCCUUACAACUGCACACAACUCACAUGGCCUAGGCUAUUUAGGGUCUCAGAGAAUUGCAUAUGAUUUGGAUUUUAGGGAAAUGCUUUAAAAAGGGACUCCACAUCACGUGUACAAAGCAAGAGAAAACACACCUACCACAAGUAAAGCAGUUCAGUUGUUUCUCUGUAUGCACAGGGCUGUGUUGCUACAGAGAUGCCAAAAUAAUCCAAGGAAAGCACAGUUGUAUGAGCCAUUUCCAUGCACUGCUGAACCUCAGCCAUUUAUUGCCAGCUGAGUAAGGACUCUGGUAGCGUUAACUCCACCCCUCCUGGGCUGUGCUCUAUUCAGACAAGCUCAUAAAAAUAAAGUUUAAAUGCUUGCUGUGUCAAGCUGGACUCGAUAAGAGGUGAUUUCUCAAGGAGGAGAAUAUUUGAUCUUUCACAGAUGCUGGACUCCAUCAGUGGCACCAGAAAGGGAGACACAUCUUCCCUGUUGUCCCCUUCGCUUACAGAGAAACAAGCAGCAGAUCAACAGCUUCCAGGACUGAAAUCCAGCACCUGGACCAAUAAUUUUCCCCUGAAUCAACAAAUCUGUACCACUGGAUUUACCAUUUAAAUGCCACGUACAUCCAAUGCCACAAUUAGCAUGUUACUUCUUACAGGUUUCAAUCCUGGAGCUGAUUUAAAAAAAAUGCAAGAGAAGGGGCUUAUAAGUGCAUCAGUUUGUCACAGUGCACAAUGUCCAACAUGCCAGCAAAACCACUGGAGUUCUGUUUGAAAAGGCAAAAAUCAGAAGCCUCGUUCUUGCUCCCCUAUUUGACAACUCCACAGACUGUGGUGGGGCUGGAAGAAGCAGCAAUUUCUUUUCUUUACUUUACUUUUAAAGCAAAGGCAGUGCAGAACCCAGAAAGAAGAUGGUUGAGCCUACAGUCAGUCUUCACUCCACAGGACGGAUUUGUGAAUCUGGCAAGUAUUUUUUAUUUGUAACCCAGACAAAUUUUAGACAGAAGUCAGCAAAAUGAAGUAAACAUGGAAAUGCUUGAGGCCACUUCUGCAGCUCUUUUCAGGCUGUGACCAUGCAUUUACAGUAAGCACACUCACAUCUUACUGCCAUAUGACGUUGGUGCUCUCUGUUAUUGUCUUUCCAAUCUACAAAGAGGCAGUAGGAAACAGUUGCUUUUAAAAAAGCUGCAGCUGACCACAUGAAGCCUCCUUUCUCAGUCUGGAGUCAAGAAGCAUGCUCUGUUUACCACGACUAAAAAAAAUACUUGCUAGCUACCAGAACUGCUGUCUUUUUGCUAGAAAAGGCCCUUUUGUUCUGCUGCACACCACAUCUCUUAACUCCUGCCCUAAGAAGAGCAACCUGCUCUCACUCUAUUUCUUUCACUGUACAGACAUGCAGCGAGUCAAAAGCAGCAUCUGAAUUUAACAUCCUUUUCCUACCAGUUCAGCUCAUAGGUAUUUGGUUUGGGUUUUAGGCAUCUUUUAAUUCACUGUACAAACCUGAUGCUAUGGAGAGCAUCAGGCGCCAACUCCUGACCCUCUGCUUGAGAUUUAAGGAACUGGAAAAAUGAAAGUUAAGGGGAACAUCUCAGACAGACAUAAUCCUUGGCUUGAACAAGUUUCAAUUAAAACAACCCAAAAACAUGCCCAUAUAAACGUGCACUUGGUAUUCUCUGUCUAUAAAUUGGCUGUUAAUCUGCACUUAUAUGGGUAGGAGAUCAAACCAACCUCUGUACAGAGACACCACUUAACAUAAAAUACCAGUUAUUUGUAUCUUUCAGGAUGCAGUUUCAGGACAGUUUUCUGAACACUCGAAAGCAGAUGGAGGACACAGUACC